AAAAAGGGCUUCUGUCAUGAGUGGCACACGAAGGUCAACUUGAUUGCUCUGCGUGCGGAAUCAACAAGAGAUUUCGGAAGCAUAAUUUCUUGGUAACUGGGCAGCUGGUGAUCAUUGGUCCCUGUGAGGGA